rnacentral:rRNA from 1 species
UACGUCGUCUUAGGCAUCUCAGGUAAGCCAGAGGUUCUAGAUUCGGGCCUGGGAUCAAUGCAGCGGCAUGGUUUUUACAGCCAAUGGGAAGUCGAACGGCAGUACCGACUUCGUCUGUGGCGAGGCAACGGUGAGUAGCUGCAUCUGAACGUGCCUGAAGAUGGGAGAUAUCUGCCAGCAGAAAAAGAAGGUUUAACAAUCGGUACCAUCACCUUCAGGGAAGUGCGAACUUCGGCCUCUGCACUAUUGAAGAGCGCAGGCCGAUAUCGAUUAGCUUAACAAAGUGGGGUAAAACGGCUCGCCAGUGCGACGACCCGUAGUUAUUCAGAGGGCCGACGCCAUUGGGACUGAGACACGGCCCAGACUCCUACGGGAGGCAGCAGUGGGAAUUUUUGACAAUGGGGGAAACUCGAUCCGCGCCAUCCCGCGUGUGCGAUGAAGGCCUUCGGGUUGUAAAAGCACUUUGGCAGGAAAGAAACGGCAUCGGGAUAAUACCUCGUGCAACUGACGGUACCUGCAGAAUAAGCACCGGCUAACUACGUGCCAGCAGCCGCGGUAAUGGGUGCAAGCGUUAAUCGGAAUUACUGGGCGUAAAGCGUGCGCAGGCGGUUCGGAAAGAAAGAUGUGAAAUCCUGUAUUUAACUUUGGAACUGCAUUUUUAACUACCGAGCUAGAGGUGUCAGGAGGUGGAGGAAUUCCGUAGCAGGAAUGCGUGUGAUAUGCGAGGAACACCGAUGGCGAAGGCAGCUCUGGGAUAACACUGACGCUCAUGCACGAAAGCGUGGGGAGCAAAACAGAUUAGAUACCCUGGUAGUCCACGCCCUAAACGAUGUCAAUUAUUGCUGGGGCCUUCGGGCCUUGGUAGCGCAGCUAACGCGUGAAGUUGACCGCCUGGGGAGUACGGUCGCAAGAUUAAAACUCAAAGGAAUUGACGACCCGCACAAGCGGUGGAUGAUGUGCGGAUUAAUCGAUGCAACGCGAAAAACCUUACCUACCUUGACAUGUCUGGAAUCCCGAAGAGAUUUGGGAGUGCUCGCAAGAGAACUGGAACACAGGUGCUGCAUGGCUGUCGUCAGUUUCGCUGUGUCGUGAGAUGUUGGGUUAAGUCCCGCAACGAGCGGCAACCCUGUCAUUAGUUGCUACGAAAGGGCACUCUAGACGAGACUGCCGGUGACAAACCGGAGGAAGGUGGGGAUGACGUCAAGUCCUCAUGGCCUUGCGGCAGGGGCUUCGACGUCAUACAAUGGUCGGGACAGAGGGUCGCUAACCCAAGCAGGGGAGCCAAUCCUAGAAACCUGAUCAGAACCGAUCGCAGUCUGCAACUCGACUGCGUGAAGUCGGAAUCGCUAGUAAUCGCGGAUCAGCAUGUCGCGGUGAAUACGUUCCCGGGUCUUGUACACACCGCCCGUCACACCCAUGGGAGUGGGUUUUACCAGAAGUAGUUAGCCUAACCGUAAGGAGGGCGAUUACCACGGUAGGAUUCAUGACUGGGGUGAAGUCGUAACAAGGUAGC